ensembl:lncRNA
AAAGGAUCCAGCGUUUAGCUCAGAAAGUCAGCUUGCUGAGAAUAAUGUAUCUCUGCAUUCUGACCUGCUGCUGACAACAAAUAUAUUUCACUGUUACCUGGGAUAGCAGUGAUGAGAUUUUUUUUCCCUCGUCUAAAUGGAAGCCAGUUGGGAGAAGCUGGCAACAGACAAAUGAUGCUCAUUCCACCCCUGCUUUUACUUAAUGGCUGAUAUCAAGAUCCUCGCAUUCAUUGGUGACAUUACUAUUAAAAACAUAUUUCUUAUCUGGCUCUUUUCUUCCUACAAAUCGAUCAUGGAAAUCUGUGCUGAUGGAGCAGUGAGCAUGCAGCCGUGGGAAGGAGGAGGGCUGCAGCCUGCUACGUGGUGCACCUGCAUGCUGCUGCCAGGCAUCACCUGCAUCCAGGGACUGCAAAACCCCAACCCCAGAGAGCCGAAAUGCAAUGGACUCCAUGGAGACAGUGCAAAACCCAAUGGGGCAUGGACAAAGCUUUACCUGAUUGUCUGGAGCCAGCAUAGAAAGGCAUAACUUUGGGCUUCUUAAGAUCUACAGAUGGAAACCUCCUGGCAGCGUGUGCAGAAACGAUCAGGUCCACAAGGACAACACGGGACAAAUCAAUCAUACAAGAUGGAUGGGGCCACUGGGUGACGCUUGGGUGAAAACCGCUUCCAGAUUUCACACCAGCUUCGCUUUUGUGCUCCGGCUGAAAACACAGCUUUAUUGCAUGAGCAUAAGUAAUACAGGAAGGCACUUACCACUCCAUUUUGUGCAGCUUUUGUUUGUGAUAGUCUUAAUUUACUGCUGAAGUGAAUCCGAGACUGAUAAUUUUUAUGAUUUUUUACCAAGAAAAGACAUUAAGCUACUUACUUUGGCUGCACUUCCUACUCUGCAGAAAUUAUUUAUCCAAGCACAGCGGCAAAGUGGGUCAGGGGAGGAAUAAUAAUAAUAAUAAUAAAAGAAACCGCCCACAAAAAUCUUGAAUCCCUUGCAGAAGUUGGAUUAAGGCUCAAGAUACUGGAUGCAAACCGCUGCCACGUUCUCCAUUUCAAAGGAAAGGUGUCAGCUCAGGCAGCGAUGUCAAAGGCUGCAAAGUUUGGGCUGCAAAAUCCCACUCCUACCGUUUGCCAUGCUGGCCACAAAGGAACAGAGAGCUGGAUUUGGCUCUGCAAGCUACUCUGCCUUUUCCUCAAGGGAUAUAUACCCCAAGAACUGAGUUGCUUCAUUGAUUCUGUGCAUGGGUAAGCAGCAGUGCCCAUGGGGAGGAGGGGAGAACAGGGAAGAGAAAGCUUUUUUCCCUGUAUUUUCUACCACCAACUGCUCAGUUUGGGUGAAAUAGGAGAGUCACAUCUUUUCCCAACUCUCUGAAGUGAGGGGAACUUUGCUGAGGCCCCAGCUUGAACCGGACCGUGCCCAGAUAUCAUCAGAUCCUGCACAAGAAAAAUAAAGAGCUCAAGUUGCAAAAGAAGAGCGAUGGAGGAGUGAAACUCGAGAGGAGCAUACAGUCCGCUGACAGCUCCCUGCAGCUCAAACCGACCCGUCAGGGCCACAGCAAAGCCUUGGAGCAGCAGCAUUGUGCUCCAGGAAAAUCAGCAUGGUGCAGCCAGGAGGGGAUCAUGCUCAUGCAGAACGAUCUCUGCAGUGGCACCAGAGGAAGAGAUCACACCAUUUGCAAAAGCAAUCUGUGCAGGUGAGAAGGGAAACACAAACCACAUCAGCAGCUGAGCUAAUCAAAAAGGAUCUAGCAUUAAUAAACCAGAAGGGGAGGAAAAGAGAUAAAACCUGGCAAGGCUGUUGGCAGAAAGAUGCUUUUCUUGCCUCACCAGCAGGAAUCCAACACACAAAAACCCAACACAUUUCUUACAUUAGACAAUUAAAACCCCAUCUUAAUCCUGAGAGACUUCAGGUGGCACAGCAUGUUGUUAUUUAAUUACACCUUCCAGGGCUGAUUAGCUAUCCAAGCAGCAAGGCAUCUCCACCUCCAGUACAAGUAAAGGAAGAGAGAGCAGUGGGAUGGAACCUCUGUACCACGAAGGUAUGACAGCCACAGUGGGAUCAAAGUCACUCCAAGUUGAACAUAGUCUGAUCUUAGUGAGGCUAACUGUAAUUCCCAGUAUCUAUAAGGGCAUCAGUAGUGGUUGUAGAUCCAGGCAGGGUAUGGGUGAGAUGGAGUGCAGCUGGGCUGGAUGCACUGUCUGCUGGAUCCCAGCCUUGCCAGGAAAUUUGGUUCAUUCUUCAGAGUGAUGUUGUCAGUGACCUCCGUUGACUGUGUGGAGCAUCACAGGCAGUCCUGCGAGCACAGCCCACCUCUCCACUCUGGGAAAUAGCUCAGAACACCAAACUCACAAGUAGAAGAGUGCCUGAGCCAGCAGGAACAGGCCUUCAGCUGGGAAGGUGUCCAUUGUCUAGUCUGGGAUUUCACAGGGAAUCUGGUGCCAGGAGCCAUUUGGAUGAUGCCAGACUGCUGAACACAUCCAGCUCAUCAGGUGUCCAAACUCAUCGCUCAAGUUGCCUUCAUUGGGUGUAAAGGACUCCCCACAUUUAAAGUUGGCCAGUUUUGUGGAUGGGAAAAUGCAGUCAAAGUGAAUGCACCUCUGUGGGAAAGAGAUGUGAAAUCCUCUGGCAGCCUCACCAUUCCUUAGUGAAUUUUCACCCAUGCUAUGCUUUCCCCCAGCAAGAUCAACACACUGCUGCUUUGAAGGGAAAUGUCUGAUUCCCAAAUCUGGUUCUGGCUGGCAUGCUGAUCCUAUCAUCUUUCAUGUGUGUGCAGGGAGGGGGGACUUUACAACUUUAAUGAUUGCAGAAAGAAGUUCAUCUGCCAGUGCGACCUUUAGGAAGCACAUUUCCUUCUGCCUUGCAUGUGAUUCUGAAAAACAUUUGGUUGACAUCUUUCUUUGAAGCUUCCCAAUCAUCCUACGUAUCUACAAAAUCCGAACAGCAAACCAUUGACAGAACCACAGUUUCACAAUAUUUUGAUUAAAGAACUACUCGUCCUCUCUGCUUUGAUGCUUC